CAGCUUCCCAUGCAAGUCGAGCGGUAACAGGGGUAGCUUGCUUCCCGCUGACGAGCGGCGGACGGGUGAGUAAUGCUUAGGAAUCUGCCCAGUAGUGGGGGAUAGCCCGGGGAAACCCGGAUUAAUACCGCAUACGUCCUACGGGAGAAAGCAGGGGAUCUUCGGACCUUGCGCUAUUGGAUGAGCCUAAGUCGGAUUAGCUAGUUGGUGGGGUAAAGGCCUACCAAGGCGACGAUCCGUAGCUGGUCUGAGAGGAUGAUCAGCCACAUCGGGACUGAGACACGGCCCGAACUCCUACGGGAGGCAGCAGUGGGGAAUAUUGGACAAUGGGGGCAACCCUGAUCCAGCCAUGCCGCGUGUGUGAAGAAGGCUUUCGGGUUGUAAAGCACUUUCAGUAGGGAGGAAAACCUUAUGGUUAAUACCCAUGAGGCUUGACGUUACCUACAGAAGAAGCACCGGCUAACUCCGUGCCAGCAGCCGCGGUAAUACGGAGGGUGCGAGCGUUAAUCGGAAUUACUGGGCGUAAAGCGCGCGUAGGUGGUUUGGUAAGCGAGAUGUGAAAGCCCCGGGCUUAACCUGGGAACGGCAUUUCGAACUGUCAGACUAGAGUGUGGUAGAGGGUACUGGAAUUUCCUGUGUGCCGUGAGAUGCGUGAUAUAGUAAAGGAGCGCGCACUGGCGGAGGGCUCGUACCUGGAUCGACACUCAAGCCUUAGGGUGCGAAAGGUGGGGAGCGACAAGAGUAACACCUCUGCUA
rnacentral:rRNA from 1 species